AGGUGCUUAUCGUGCCAUCCGUACCAUAAUGUCGAGAAAAGAGACGGAGUCAUUCUCCUCCAUCUCAAAGAAUUGGCGCAGUCGGUAGGAUUGUUUCCGUUGAUACGUGCUUUUCACUAUGGACAAGAAACCCUUCAACGUGGAGUCUCAACCCCUUCAGACACAGUCCAAAUAGAAGAACCGUGUGGUCUAGACGUGGUGUAUGGGCACAGUAAUAGAAGAAUUGAGAAAGCACUUCUUAAAGCCUGAGGAUAAGCUUUUACAGGAUGGCCGAAUGUAAGAGAUAAGGCAGCAUCACAGUAGGAACGCUGCGGUAAUGCAUUGGUACGACAACACAUAGGUUUAAAUAGGAGGUGAUACACGAUGCGUUAGCACCGCAUCGACGGAAGAGAAACGCAGCUUGCUGCGUACAACGGACGACGAACGACGGGAUGGUUGUAACGCGCGUUUUUAUUAAUGUUCACCUAAAUUAUUACAUUAAAUAUCUUGCUUU